UAGAACCAUACCAGCAGCCACAGAACCGUCGUCCUUCUGGAAGGAACCAUCAAAAGAAAGGGCCACAGGCCCAGCCGCCAGGGCCGGCCAUGGAUAUGCGGGGGAUCUGUCAACUCUCGCCGCGGAGGUAACAUCUAUGGAGGCACAAUAACCGGAUGAUAUUUGGUGCCAUAUCCAAAUGUCAGGCUCAGUGGCAGAAACACGAUCCAUGAUUAAUUGGUCCAGAAGUGUCAAUUAUGUAGAAAGUGAAUGGUGGAACAAAUAUGGGGAGUGAUCAAUGUGCAAUACAAUACAAGAUACAAGUACUACCCGCAAGCAAUGGCAAAAGGGCAUUGGAAGAAUUGGUGUCUUUUGUUUUAACAAAAGUUCUUCCACAAAGCAAACAUGUCUGUUCAGCUUAUUUUCCGUUGUACGCAUUCGCUUCGUACGUGGUCUACGCUACAACAAGGGGAGUAUCAACCGAUGUUUAAGGCGGUGUGUAUGCGGUUGGAGCAGGUGGCUACGGUGGUUUUUGCCCAACAUGGAUGGAGGCAUAAUCUCCGGAUUGGUCCACCAUCCGUUUCGACAUAGGCAUAGUGUCGGUCUUUAGGACUCUACUGUCGCUGAUUGUCGAUUUUUUUCUUUCUUUUUGUCAGACUUUAGGUGUUUGGUUGUGUGCAUCCUUGUUAUGCAGAGACCGAGUGUUACUCAUAAUGCUUUGUAUCCACUUGAUGCUACAUUUUGAUUUAAUAAAAGCACCCUUUAUCG